UCGCUUUGGCAGCAGAUAUACUAAAGUUGGGACAGUACAGAGAUUAGCAUGGCCCCAGUGCGGAUAUGACACACAAAUUUAUGAAGUGUUCCUAUUUUAA
ensembl:snRNA U6 U6 spliceosomal RNA